rnacentral:rRNA from 1 species
UUCCAGACUCCUACGGGAGGCAGCAGUGGGGAGUAUUGCACAAUGGGGGAAACCCUGAUGCAGCGACGCCGCGUGAGCGAUGAAGUAUUUCGGUAUGUAAAGCUCUAUCAGCAGGGAAGAAAAUGACGGUACCUGACUAAGAAGCCCUGGCUAACUACGUGCCAGCAGCCGCGGUAAUACGUAGGGGGCAAGCGUUAUCCGGAUUUACUGGGUGUAAAGGGAGCGUAGACGGCGAUGCAAGCCAGAUGUGAAAGCCCGGGGCUCAACCCCGGGACUGCAUUUGGAACUGUGUGGCUGGAGUGUCGGAGAGGCAGGCGGAAUUCCUAGUGUAGCGGUGAAAUGCGUAGAUAUUAGGAGGAACACCAGUGGCGAAGGCGGCCUGCUGGACGAUGACUGACGUUGAGGCUCGAAAGCGUGGGGAGCAAACAGGAUUAGAUACCCCCGUA